GAUUCAUUUCUUUGACGUUCAGGGUCUUUUGCCAGCGGGCCGACUGAGUCUCAGUGGUUUCGCUCGUAUGAACAUUUGCCAAAUUCCUCCUUUCACUACUGCGGAUACAUCUCAGCGCCAUUUUCUGCGGCCGCAUCCUGCGGCUCCGUAGCCAUGGAUUUUUGCUUCUCCGCGUCAGUUGUUUCUGGAGGAUAAGCUGCUAGCCGACUCAUCUGUAGGCCGCUGAGGGACCGGAGUGGAGAGGAAGGAGGAGACGGCAAAGCUUUGCAGCGGUGAAUCAAACAAACCCCCCUUCCCACGCCUGCUGAGAGGAUAGUAGAGUUUUCAUCCUCCUCAUUCCUAUUCCGAUGUCCUGGCCUGACUGAUGAGUGCGGGGAGUGUGUCCAACGAUGGGUUGGCGCCCCGCCCUCGGUUGUUCCCUGCUUUGCACAGAUUGACUCCAGACCCCCGUGACCCGGAAUAGGGACAACAGGUUACAGAAGAUGGACAGAUGGAGGGUUGCACAAGAUGGAUGGACACUGGCCCCAAACUGCCACAUCUAUGAUGAUAAUAUUGAGCAAGAAUAAUUAUUAUAUAAUUAUAUAUAAUGAACUUCGUAAAUGGUAAACAACCAAAUUAUUCUAAGACAUUCUGAUAAAAUAACAAUGACGGAACACUUGUGGAUGUCAGAACUUCUGCUACUUGCCACAAAAUUAUAACUUGUA